AGUCUAAGUUCAGAGCAUUCUUUUUAAAUGUUAUAAUUUCAGAAAUGAAAACUUGUUGAACUGCCGAAAUUUCACCCGAUGUUAAGCAGCGCAGGGAGCAAGGCGAUAUUAGUUAUACUGGUACUGGGAAUCCCCUUGUAGUGUGGAUACACGUUUGGUUAGGUCAUGAGUUCUUGGGACUAGAGAAGGCCACAAUACGGUUUCAAAAUUCUAAAGGGAUGACAAUGGGAAACAAAUCCUUGAAUUAUCUUCUUGGAAAUGAAAGGUGCAUGGUGACUGAGCUGCAAAACCUCAUAGAAGAAGAACUGAGUGAACACGAGACUAUCCCUAGAAGAAUUCAUCCACAAGAUCCACUCAGAUGUUUAUAAAGAUACAUAUGAAUAACACCAUUCUCUUUAAAUCACAUAUUUGAUUGUGACACGUUUAUAAUCGCUCAGAAUAAGACCAACUCUGCAUUUGGAUUCAUCGAGAUGCGAGGAAUCUGUGGAUUUCCUAUGUUCCAAACAAGUCCAGGACCGUGUUUUGUAGGAGGCGUAGUCCAUUAGAAACUUUUUUUGGUUUUAGCAAAUUUAAGACUACCAAGUAAUGCCAGUAGAGGAAAGAAAAUGGUUGCAGAUAUCAAGGAAACUCGAGUUUAAUCUUAAAGACUCAAAUUGCCAGUAUUUUGAAGAGGACGGUUAUAAUUAGGGAAUAUCAAGCUCAUUAACCCUAACGCAACAUGACUAAAAUACAAUUUAUCUUUAUAUAUGCAUAUUCUAUUAGCUGUCAAUAUUUACGUAUAAUAGUUUUUCCUUUUGGUUGGUUUGAAGUAGAAAAUUAAUAUAUAACUUAAUUUUGCACUCUG